rnacentral:rRNA from 1 species
UACGUAGGGUGCGAGCGUUGUCCGGAUUUAUUGGGCGUAAAGAGCUCGUAGGCGGUUUGUCGCGUCGGCCGUGAAAUCUCCACGCUUAACGUGGAGCGUGCGGUCGAUACGGGCAGACUUGAGUUCGGUAGGGGAGACUGGAAUUCCUGGUGUAGCGGUGAAAUGCGCAGAUAUCAGGAGGAACACCGGUGGCGAAGGCGGGUCUCUGGGCCGAAACUGACGCUGAGGAGCGAAAGCGUGGGGAGUAAACAGG